rnacentral:rRNA from 1 species
CCUACGGGUGGCAGCAGUAGGGAAUAUUGCUCAAUGGGGGAAACCCUGAAGCAGCAACGCCGCGUGAAGGAUGAAGGUUUUCGGAGUGUAAACUCCUUUUGGUAGAGAAGAAAAUGACGGUAUCUAACGAAUAAGCACCGGCUAAAGCCGUGCCAGCAGCCGCGGUAAUACGGAGGGUGCAAGCGUUACUCGGAAUCACUGGGCGUAAAGGGCGCGUAGGCGGGAUAGCAAGUCAGAUGUGAAAACCUAGGGGUUAACCAUAGAACUGCAUUUGAAACUGUUAUUCUAGAGUAUGGGAGAGGUAUGUGGAAUUCUUGGUGUAGGGGUGAAAUCCGUAGAGAUCAAGAGGAAUACUCAUUGCGAAGGCGACCUGCUAGAACCUAACUGACGCUGAUGCGCGAAAGCGUGGGGAGCAAACAGGAUUAGAUACCCCAGUAGUC